rnacentral:rRNA from 1 species
GACGAACGCUGGCGGCGUGCUUAACACAUGCAAGUCGAACGGAAAGGCCCUGCUUGCAGGGUGCUCGAGUGGCGAACGGGUGAGUAACACGUGGGUGAUCUGCCCCUUACUUUGGGAUAAGCCUGGGAAACUGGGUCUAAUACUGGAUAGGACCAUGCUGUAGGUGGUGUGGUGGAAAGAUUAGUUUCGGUAAGGGAUGAGCUCGCGGCCUAUCAGCUUGUUGGUGGGGUAAUGGCCUACCAAGGCGUCGACGGGUAGCCGGCCUGAGAGGGUGGGCGGCCACAUUGGGACUGGGAUACGGCCCCGACUCCUACGGGAGGCAGCGGUGGGGAAUAUUGCACAAUGGGCGCAAGCCUGAUGCAGCGACGCCGCGUGGGGGAUGACGGCCUUCGGGUUGUAAACUCCUUUCAGCCAUGACGAAGCCCUUGUGGUGACGGUAGUGGUAGAAGAAGCACCGGCUAACUACGUG